CAAAGAAGAAGCUUGGGUAUGGAAGGCCACUGUGGAUCCACCAUACCCUAUCAAGGCCAGGACUCCAAUUUGUCUCCCAGGGGUCUUCUUUUGGAGUGCUCUCAAGUCCAUGGCACAUGGCAAGUGAUCAUCUAGGCAAGAAUGAUGCACUAUCUGCACUAGGUGGAAAGUUAUGCUAUAUCCACUCUCCCACUCCGUGGGAGAUUGCCAUUUGGUUAGCGGAAGAUGGGCCAAAUCUGACUUGGUCACUAUGCCGCCGUGUCAGUCUGCCGAUACCAAGAAAUCUUCUUGCCUUUGCAUGUGCGUCAACUGACCCGGACAAGAUAUUCCUCUCCAUUGAUGCGCGCUACCUUCUCAGGUGUGACCUCCAUGAUGAAUCUCUUGAAGAAAUAAUCAACAUGCGCGACAUGUUGUAUGAUCUCCGGAACGGCAGAAAAUUCACCAUUGGUUCACUCCUUGUUGCCCACUAUAUGGUGCCAUUUGUGGAAUCACUGUUGCACAUCAGAUCUUCAUAGCAACAAGCCAUCAUAUCGUAUGUGAUGUGAUCUAAUAAAUGUUGUCCAAUUUCUUGUGUGCAAGUGUUGCAAUCAAAAUUCUGCAUUAAUACAUAUUUGUUUUUGUAUUGUUCUUA